CGAGGAGACGACAGCACCAUUUUCCUCCUCUCAAGUUUACAUGAUUAAAUGAGAAUCUGAGAAGAUGAUGAGGGAGAUUUUUCAGCACCGCCAGAAACUUGUUAAUGAUCCAGGCAGAAGUGCUGAUAUCCUUUCCACCGUCCCAAGAUUUCUGGAUACAAAAGGAUUGGCUGAUCAAGACUCUCCUGUUUUGAUGACAAGAUGGAAUGUGUUCUUCAAGCCAAAUAUCAUAAAAGAGGCCGAGGCUCACCUCAACACCAGAGCUGCGUCACGUGUUGUAGUCAGCAGAAAGUUCACCAGGAAGUGAUCUCGAGGCGACAUGUGUGUUUUGCGUGUUUUAAUGCAUUUGCUAUAAUUUUCACCUUUCAUAACUUUGUAAUUAUAGACUAGUUUAUACA